AGCAGCCGCGGUAAUUCCAGCUCCAAUAGCGUAUAUUAAAGUUGUUGCAGUUAAAAAGCUCGUAGUUGAAUUUCGGGGUCAGUAGGUCGGUCGUGCCACUGGUAUGAACUGGUCUCACUGAUUCCUCCUUCUUGAAGAACCGUAAUGUCAUUAACUUGGUGUUGCGGGGAAACAGGACUGUUACUUUGAAAAAAUUAGAGUGUUUAAAGCAGGCUAACGCUUGAAUACAUUAGCAUGGAAUAAUGAAAUAGGACGAGCGAUCCUAUUUUGUUGGUUUCUAGGAUUGACGUAAUGAUUAAUAGGGAUAGUUGGGGGCAUUAGUAUUCAAUUGUCAGAGGUGAAAUUCUUGGAUUUAUUGAAGACUAACUACUGCGAAAGCAUUUGCCAAGGAUGUUUUCAUUAAUCAAGAACGAAAGUUAGGGGAUCGAAGACGAUCAGAUACCGUCGUAG
rnacentral:rRNA from 1 species